AAGCCUUGGUUCUCCUUCAUUUACACGAAAAAAUCUUUCGCCUUUUACUAAAGAUUUCCGUGGAGGAGAACAACACAAUGAGCAACAAAAUAGAACUCGUGUUUUAAAAGGUAAAAGAU